GACGAACGCUGGCGGCGUGCUUAACACAUGCAAGUCGAACGGAAAGGCCCCUUCGGGGGUGCUCGAGUGGCGAACGGGUGAGUAACACGUGGGUGAUCUGCCCUGCACUUCGGGAUAAGCUUGGGAAACUGGGUCUAAUACCGGAUAUACCUCAUGGGAUGCAUGUUUUGUGGGGGAAAGCUUUUGCGGUGUGGGAUGGGCCCGCGGCCUAUCAGCUUGUUGGUGGGGUGAUGGCCUACCAAGGCAUCGACGGGUAGCCGGCCUGAGAGGGUGUCCGGCCACACUGGGACUGAGAUACGGCCCAGACUCCUACGGGAGGCAGCAGUGGGGAAUAUUGCACAAUGGGCGCAAGCCUGAUGCAGCGACGCCGCGUGGGGGAUGACGGCCUUCGGGUUGUAAACCGUCUUUCUAGCACAGACGAAGCGCAAGUGACGGUAUGUGCAGAAGAAG
rnacentral:rRNA from 1 species